GAAUAUUGGUCAAUGGACGCAAGUCUGAACCAGCCAUGCCGCGUGAAGGAUGAAGGUCCUCUGGAUUGUAAACUUCUUUUAUCUGGGACGAAACCCUCGUUUUCUAACGGGAUUGACGGUACCAGAGGAAUAAGCACCGGCUAAUUCCGUUCCAGCAGCCGCGGUAAUACGGAGGGUGCAAGCGUUAUCCGGAUUCACUGGGUUUAAAGGGUGCGUAGGAGGGCAGGUAAGUCAGUGGUGAAAUCUUCGAGCUUAACUCGGAAACUGCCGUUGAUACUAUCUGUCUUGAAUCCCGUGGAGAUGAGCGGAAUAUGUCAUGUAGCGGUGAAAUGCUUAGAUAUGACAUAGAGCACCGAUUGCGAAGGCAGCUCGUUACACGACGAUUGACUCUGAGGCACGAAAGCGUGGGGAUCAAACAGG
rnacentral:rRNA from 1 species